GGCUUCAUUGAGAAUGAAGAAGAAUCCUACAAAUACAAAUGGGUUGAUAGUUCUAUGAGUGUAUUUCUUAUUUUGUAUAUAAAAAUGACAUUCUUUACAUUAUAGGGAAUGAAGAUUUUGCUGUUAUUAUUGUUCUUCAUAAAGAACUUUGAAAAAAACAUUCAUCAUCCCAGAGAUGAAGAUCUAUAGAGAUAGAUCUAAGAGACUGCUUGAGUUUUUUUUAGUCCAGCAUAUAUAAAGUAUUUAUGAGUAGAAUUUAUUUUAUCAUGUACACUAUGUAUG
rnacentral:lncRNA from 1 species